AGAGAAAUACUUGUGAUGCAAAAAAAAUAUUCGGCCACAGUUGGAGGGCGGACAUAUGAAAAAGGGUUGAUUUAUGAACAGAAGUUUAGGGCCAAAACGAGCUGGUGCGAGUUAAUUAAGACUAUCUCUGUCUCUCCUUUUUUUCGCAAUCUCGGAGUGUUUUUACUAUAUGCAUGGUUGGUUAACUUCGUUCCUUCUCAUUUUUGGAAGCUGCAAGCAUCCUCGCCCACAACUGAAGAUUGACAUUUCAUAGCCGGUCACAUGGACGCAAUGAAAAGAGAAAGGAAGGAAACGGCUACGUAUAUGGAGAUGGUGAAAUAUGCCAUUGAGAGGACCUUUUGGGCAAAGAGAGGACAUCUGCAUACACUCUACAAUCUCAAAUAUCGUAGACGACUAUCCAGACCUAAAGCUCACCAGAUUUUUGCUGAGUUUCAUCGCAUCACAAGCAUUGAUGCCAAGAAACGCUUUUUUGAAACUGGCUCAGAAGACCUAGCUACCGUCCCUGAGCUGAGAGGGCAAGCCAAAGCCAGACAUUUCCUACCAGACUGCUGAAAGAAUGGAUGAUGUUAAAGAAUCAGAGAAACAAGGAUGCCUUCAUCUCAAAUUGUCG